UACGAAGGGGGCUAGCGUUGCUCGGAAUUACUGGGCGUAAAGCGUGCGCAGGCGGUGAUGUAAGACAGGUGUGAAAUCCCCGGGCUUAACCUGGGAACUGCAUUUGUGACUGCAUCGCUGGAGUGCGGCAGAGGGGGAUGGAAUUCCGCGUGUAGCAGUGAAAUGCGUAGAGAUGCGGAGGAACACCGAUGGCGAAGGCAGCCCCCUGGGCUAACACUGACGCUGAGGCACGAAAGCGUGGGGAGCAAACAGG
rnacentral:rRNA from 1 species